rnacentral:rRNA from 1 species
GACGAACGCUGGCGGCGUGCUUAACACAUGCAAGUCGAACGAAGAGCGAUGGAAGCUUGCUUCUAUCAAUCUUAGUGGCGAACGGGUGAGUAACGCGUAAUCAACCUGCCCUUCAGAGGGGGACAACAGUUGGAAACGACUGCUAAUACCGCAUACGAUCUAAUCUCGGCAUCGAGGAUAGAUGAAAGGUGGCCGCUACAUGUAAGCUAUCACUGAAGGAGGGGAUUGCGUCUGAUUAGCUAGUUGGAGGGGUAACGGCCCACCAAGGCGAUGAUCAGUAGCCGGUCUGAGAGGAUGAACGGCCACAUUGGGACUGGGACACGGCCCAGACUCCUACGGGAGGCAGCAGUGGGGAAUCUUCCGCAAUGGACGAAAGUCUGACGGAGCAACGCCGCGUGAGUGAUGACGGCCUUCGGGUUGUAAAGCUCUGUUAAUCGGGACGAAAGGCCUUCUUGCGAAUAGUGAGAAGGAUUGACGGUACCGGAAGAGAAAGCCACGGCUAACUACGUG